rnacentral:lncRNA from 1 species
GACUGUGUGUGUGUGUGUGUGUGUGUGUGUGUGUGUAUGUCUUUGUGAGCAGGGCCGCUCAUGUCUGAUGGAGAGGAGGAGGAGGAGGAAGAGGCGUGAUAGAGGAAGGGCAGGAAAAGGCAGAUGCUGGAGCUCUGCAAUUUAAUGACCCACUCUGGCCUAUGCAGUGGGAGCUGUACAACCGUGGCCAGUUCACCCAAGCCCGCUACGACUUGAACGUCAUGCCCGUCUGGCAAAGAAACAUCACUGGACGUGGAGUUGUGGUGACCAUCAUAGACGACGGUAA